rnacentral:rRNA from 1 species
AACCCAAAUUAAUUACACUCGGCGUAAAACGUGCUCAUACACUAUAUAAUAGAAUUAAAAGUCAACCAAUAUGUGAAAAUUAAUUGUUGUUACUAAAUCCACUAACGAAAGUAAUUCUAAUUUACCUUAUGCACGAUAGCUAAGAUCCAAACUGGGAUUAGAUACCCCACUAUGCUUAGCCCUAAACUUCAAUAAUUAUAUGCAACGAAAUUAUUUGCCAGAGAACUACUAGCUACCGCUUAAAACUCAAAGGACUUGGCGGUACUUUAUAUCCAUCUAGAGGAGCCUGUUCUGUAAUCGAUAAACCCCGCUACACCUUACCACCCCUUGCUAAUUU